rnacentral:rRNA from 1 species
UACGUAGGUGGCAAGCGUUGUCCGGAAUUAUUGGGCGUAAAGCGCGCGCAGGUGGUUUCUUAAGUCUGAUGUGAAAGCCCACGGCUCAACCGUGGAGGGUCAUUGGAAACUGGGGAACUUGAGUGCAGGAGAGAAGAGUGGAAUUCCACGUGUAGCGGUGAAAUGCGUAGAGAUGUGGAGGAACACCAGUGGCGAAGGCGGCAUCCUGGACCGGUAUUGACGCUGAGGCGCGAAAGCCAGGGGAGCAAACGGG